rnacentral:lncRNA from 1 species
AUCAUUUUAUAAGUUUUUGUUUUUGUUAUUUCAGGAAAUAUUUUUUUGAACGUCGCUUUAUCAGCAGUAAUUCAAAUACCCAGCACACUAUUUGCUUGUUGGGCGACCAAAGCAUGGGGUAGAAGGAAAACUUUAAUUUCUGCCAAUAUACUUUCUGGAGUUUUCCUCAUUUUAAUUGGGGUUUCUCCUUCGGAACCAACGUGGAUAAAAUCUAUAUUAAGUACAACAGCAAUGUUUGGACUCUCAUUGUCUUUUCCAACAGUAUAUAUUUAUUCGGGGGAAUUAUUUCCCACAAUGGUUCGAAAUAUUGGCGUUGGAACAUCCUCGAUGUGUGCCCGAUUCGUUCAAUGGCAGCCCCAUUUGUUGCCUCACUUGUUACAGUGGAACCAUGGAUUCCACCAAUUAUCUUCGGAGUGGCUCCGCUAAUUGGUGCCAUGCUUUGUUUGAAGCUUCCCGAAACUUUGGACUGUAAAUUGCCCGACACGAUCGAAGAAGCUGAAAUGUUUGAGAUUCGAUCCAGAGAGGAAAAGUCUGCGCUUAGAGGACAUUAAACAGAGAUGAGUUGAAACACAGAGUGCUAUACCUAUAUAGUAAAUGUCCGAAUUAUGAUGAUAUGUGGAGCUUUUCUGAUGUUUGUUGCAUUUUUUCUGUAUGUACGUAUUCGUAUGGACAAACAUUCCAUAAAAGCUAUUAUACCGAAAGCGAUUGUAAACAUUCUAUAAAAUGUCUAAAUAAUUAUGUGUUGUUAAAAUAAAAAAUUGUUUAAAUUUUCUAUUAGA